rnacentral:lncRNA from 1 species
UAUUAUCUUUUAGGAUAAAUACUUGGCUUUAUAAUGAUUUAAGAGGGAUAUUGAGAGAAGGUUAGGGAUAGAAAUUUUUGGCAUCAAGGUUUUUUUAAUUUUGGAAAAGAAGUAGGCUGGGGUCGAAAGGAGGGAAAAAAAAGGGUUGCUAGAGUUUUUAGGGAAGGGAGCAAGAUUCAAGUCUAGUUCAAGAUUUUAAAGGCCACUUAUGAAAUUUUUAUUUUUUUGUGCUAAAAUUAUGAAGGAUGUUAGAUCGUGCUGUUAGCUUUCCAACAAGCUAUAGCACAUAAGAAAUGAAGUUAUAAGGAGGGAGAACCAUGAAAUUUUUUGAAAAGGGAAUUACUAGAGUUUUUUGGGUGACAAGAUUCGAGACUAGUUUGAGGUUUCCUAUUUUAUUUUUUCAAUUUUCAUCUUUUUAUUUAGAAAUUUUGAAAGAAAUUAGAUCUUGUUGUUAGCUUUUCAACAAGAUAUAGCAUAUAAGAAA